GCAGUAGUAGUUCGGUGGUAGAAUUGUUGCCUUUAGUGCAGAAGACCUGGGUUCGAUUCCCACUCAGUGCA
rnacentral:tRNA from 1 species